UGCAGCUACCACCAUAGUGACCACUAUACCAUAUAUACAUAUUAUAAUAUAUAACAUCAUCACCACCAAGGUAGAGGCCCUAUUUCUCUAGUCAAUCCCUGAAUAUCUUCAAGCAAUUCAUAUGAUUUUUCUUUUGCUUUCCCCAGAAGAAAUUCUGAAGGGGAAGGAAUAAAUAAUUUUGCAUUGGCCAAGCAUUAGUUUGAAAUGCCUAAGCUUUUCUUUAUGGAAGUUUUUAAAUGCAGUCACUUUUGAUUUAGUACAGAAUUAUAAUCAACUAGAGGCUACAGGCAUUUUAGCCUGCUGGAGUUUAUAUUGGGGGUUUUGCAAGACAGCAAUCUCCAUUUCUUAAACAUGUGCUUUAGUAAGACAAAAUACUAUUUCUCAGUAGAGCACAACCUUGAAGAAAAUCAAUGUAAAUGUUAUUCUACUUCUCACCUCUUUUUCUCUACAAAACUAAACACUCCAAACACAGGCACAGCAAACUGCAUUUCUAAAGGUUUUGUAAGUUAAACAAGCCAAGGAAGUUACGUGGAAAAAAAAAAUCUCCUUUGAGAUAUAAAAUUGUUCAUAUCUGAAGGAGACUGUACAGAUAGCAGAAGGGAAUAUAGUAUAAUAUUUGAUGAAGAGACAUAAUUAUCAUUUAUGAAUGAGAAAGCUCAAUGUUUUUCUAAAUUACUCGAAUUAAACCUCAAAUAAAUAUUUGAAGUUCUCCAUCUAAUUCGGCUACAAUGAAAAAUUGAAUCUCAUUACCUCUGGAUUUACAUCGACUCCAAUUUCAAAGAUUGUAUUUAUUUCAGAGGGGAUGAAAAAGCAUUUUUCACUAGGAAGAAAAUGAAUUGAGGUUUCAAUAUAAAACAAGACUCAUUGCAUAUUAUAAAGAAAGUGCUAGUCUAAAUUUUUUUUCCAAAGAAAACUUCUAAGAAAAAGUCAGAGAUAUUUCACUUAGUUUGGAGAUAAGUUUAAAUAAAUGACAAUUAUGUGUCUGUAAUAGUGGUACAAACAGACAUUGUAUACCUCAAUUUAAGCAUACUUAUUAUAUCAACUAGAGAGUAUUAUUCCUUUUACGAAAUAAUUCCUCAUUCUACAAAAACACGCAGUAUAGGAUCCAUUUAGUAAUGAGCUCCCCAGUGUAUUCUACCUGUAAUUUAAUUCAAUUUUCACAGUUUUCUAGAUACAACAAUUGCCUCAAGCAAGGUAAACUUCUUUGCCAGUUUAAGUGGAUACGCUGUAGAAAUCAGAUCAGUGUGUGUAUGUCUGUACAUCUCUUUAAAAGCUGAUUGCAAUGUGCUUAUAAAAGGAACAGUCAGUUGUCCACUAUUUUCACCAUACGCAAUUUCCUCCCAUAGCUUCACGGCCAUAUGGAGAUGUUCAUCCUGAGCCACCUAAAUUUCCAGCAGGGAAAACAAAACCAACAAACAAAACAGGACAUGACAAUGAAGAUAUCAAAGAACUGUUAUUUACUUUUGCUACAAGAAGUACACAGAGGAUUCAUGAUUCUUGAACUAUAUUUUCCAAAAUAAGUGACAGUCAUUCACUUUCUUGACAAAUAUUUAUGGAGUACUAACAAUAGGCCGGACACUAUGAUCGUCUUUUACAAUAUAUUCUCCCUAAAGAAGAUUCCAAGUGAAAAUAUACUGAGAGUGCUCAUCAUUCUAUAUCUCAUACUUGAAACAUUCAUAAUAGGUGCGUCGGCCACUUAAGGGCUCCAAGAAAUCUUAAAGAAACUUGUUUAAUCCAACAGUGACCAGAUACAUUUAAUUAUGCCAUUUUCUUUUCCUUUCCUUUUCCUUUUUUUUUUUUUUUUUUUUUUUUUUUUUUUUUUUUUUUUUUUUUUUUUGACAGAGUUUCUCUCUUACUCCCAGGCUGGAGUGAAGCGGCGCGAUCUCAGGUAAUUGCAACCUCUACCUGUUGGGUUCAAGCGAUUCUCCUCCCUCACCCUCCUGAGUACCUAUUACAGGCACUCACCACCAUGCCCAGCUAAUUUUUUAUUUUCAGUAGAGACGGAGUUUCACCCUGUUGGCCAAGCUGGUCUCAAACUCCUGACAUCAGGCGAUCCAACCGCCUUGGCCUCCCAAAGUGCUGGGAUUUCAGGCAUGAGCUACUGCGCCCGGCCAUUGUUUUUUUUCCUUUUUACGCACAGUAAUAUCCACUGGGACAAGGGCUUUCUGAAAUAGCAUUCUUCUAAAAGUUCUUCUCCAUAUGCAUCAAAGCCUGGCUGAUUUAAUAUGAAAUGCAGCUUUUAGAAUGUCUAUGUGUCAUUUUUUUCCCUUCACCUACAGUGACACCUGUGGUACUGAACUAUGCAACAUCCUUUCCCCCGAGAUCUGACAAGUGUUAGUCCUGUUUACCAAGCAUGCUGUCUUCUGUGUGUUGCCAUGUGGUUCCCAGGGCUCCGGGGCUGGACUCUAGACCAGGUCUGUCCAAUCACUGUGUUCCGUCACAGUGACUGAUGCAGGGAAAAGCCCUUGCCCUGAAUUAGUUAAAUGAGAGGCAAUGCUGGAAUUCAUUUUUAUACCUAUUACCAAUGGAGUUGCUGGGAGGAUAUGAUAGAGCUGGUGGCUCCUGGUGGCCAUCUUGCUACCAUGUGGAAAAACAAUGGCCAUGAUAAGACCAACACAGUGAAAGGCAGAACUUUGGGAUGGCAAACAUGAGACUGAGUUCCUGCACCCAAGCCAGUAAAGAUGCCCUCAGUGAACAAAAUGUGUAAAGAAACAACUUCAAGGACAUGUAACUAAAACACUUAGGAAUUUCCUUGGGUCAGGCAGGUUUGGAUCAUCAACAUUUUCAUUUCCCCCUUUAUAUCCAAAAUGAAAUGUUCACAUGGUAAGACCAACCAGUUUUUUCUUCUUGUGUUUAUAGUGGAAUUUGGAUGAGAACUGUGGAUAUAAUCUACAUAAUUAAUCUGCGCCAACUCCAAAUGCCAGAUAAUCUCUUAAAUUGUUUGUCAAGAUAAAUAGAACAGAAAAAUUGACUCACACACCAACCUCCUCUCUAAUUUAACAAAAUUGGAGAAUCGCACAAUGGGUGGAAUAUUGACAAUAUGCAAUAGAAGUUGCCCUAAAGGGAUUAUUUAGCAGGAACAAAGAAAACUCCAACAGUUGGCAGAGUCAUGAUGAGGUUAAACAAAAGAUGAAACUCUUCUCCAAACCUGGGUGUUGAAUUAUUGAAAUUUGUUUCAAACAUUUCAGCAUCUGAGUAGUGACAUAUGACAAACACAUGCCUAUAUUACAAUAGAAAAGUAAACUUGUAACAAAGUAAUCUUUAUAGUUACCUUGGUUUUGUCAUCUGUAAAAUAGGAGAAAUAAUAGUGUCUACUUCAUAUGGGUAAACAGUCAAUUAGACGAUUCUCAUAAAGGAUCCAACAUGGUAUAUGGCACUCUGUGAACACUAAAGAAUUGCUGAAUAAGGAUGAUGGUGGUGAUGGUAGUGGAGGAUGAUGAUGAUGAUGGUGGUGGUGAUGGCAGCGGAGGAAGAUGAUGUUGCUAAUGAUGGUGGUGAUGUUAGUGGAUGAGGAUGAGGAUGAUGGUGGUGAUGGUAGUGGAGGAGGAUGAUGUUGCUAAUGACGGUGGUGAUGUUAGUGGAUGAGGAUGAUGAUGGUAGUGGAGGAGGAUGACGGUGAUGAUGAUGGUGGUGAUGGUAGUGGAUGCGGAUGAUGGUGAUGAUGAUGGUGGUGAUGCUAGUGGAGGAGGAUGAUGGUGAUGAUGAUGGUGAUGGUGGGGGAGGAUGAGGAUGAUGAUGACGGUUGUGAUGGUAGUGGAGGAGGAUGAUGGUGAUAAUGAUGGUGGUGAUGGUAGUGGAUGGGGAUGAUGUUGAUAAUAAUGGUGGUGAUGGUAGUACUAUGAAGAUGAUGCUGAUA
rnacentral:lncRNA from 1 species